ensembl:snRNA U6 U6 spliceosomal RNA
GUGCUUGCUUUCAUAGCACAUAUACUAAUACUGGAGUAAUAGAAAGAUUAGCAUGGCCCCUGUGAAAGCAUGACACACAGAUCUGUUAAGUGUUCCAUGUUUUU